CUUUAUAACAAAGAAUUUUUUUAAAAGAAAGAGGAAGAAGAGAAAAAAAACCUUAGCAAAACUAAAUGUAAUACAAAAUCUGACAGUAUACUGACAAUUCUUGCUUCAGCUUCCAGGAACUAGGGCAUAGAAUGGUUACAGAUGAAAGACCACUUCCUGUGUAUAUUGAAAAGAAGUUUUGAAUAACAAGCAAGACUCUAAUCAAUGAAUACCCUGCAAGUCCUCUUGAAAGAUAAGAUUACCAUACUAGUAGAUCAGGAUAAGGCUGGAACCUCUUUCAGGGCAUUCGACUGGAAUGAAAUGGAAAACCUCUUGAGGACAGUCACACAUGAUGACCAAUACCCAGGCAUGUGCUGGUAAAAGUUUAACAAGCGGUUCUCUUUUU